UCGAUGAAGAACGCAGCGAAAUGCGAUACGUAGUGUGAAUUGCAGAAUUCCGCGAAUCAUCGAGUCUUUGAACGCAAGUUGCGCCCGAGGCUUGUCCGAGGGCAUUUCCGCUAGAGCGUCACCGCGCCCCCCACCGAUCCACUCCCUCCGGGAGUCGGGUCGAGUGGAAGUGGCCAUCCCGGUGGGCCUUCCCGACUUUUUGCGAAAAGAGGAAGGACUUGAGGGUUGGCUGAAAUGCAGGGAAUCGGGCCGCCGUGGUGACACAGUCCGCGAUCGGGUGAUUUUUGGGCUCCUCCGGGAGUCCGGAAUUUUUCUAAGUGCGUGGCUGCGUCCCCCAGUCGGUCGUCGUGUUACCUCACGCAGGUCGAGCGCGCCCCCCGCGGCGCGCGUCACGCAUCAGACCUCUAAUCGGAAAAGACUACCCGCUGAGUUUAAGCAUAUCAAUAAGCG
rnacentral:rRNA from 1 species